rnacentral:ncRNA from 2 species
AGGUGAGGUAGAGGCGCGGAGGCAAUGAGUAGGCUUUGGGAGAACGACAUCGAUGAUCGAAGCUAAAAGGUAAAUCCGCCGAAGUGAAAGAGAACUGUCACAUUCGCUUUUGCUGGGACAGCAUUGAAAAAAUGUUGAACUGUCACGAUGCAAGUCAUCGUGGAGAACUACUACUGAA